UUUCCGGUUGAUCCUGCCGGACCUGACUGCUAUCGGAUUGAUACUAAGCCAUGCGAGUCAUUGUAGCAAUACAAGGCAUACGGCUCAGUAACGCGUAGUCAACCUAACCUAUGGACGGGAAUAACCUCGGGAAACUGAGAAUAAUGCCCGAUAGAACAUUAUGCCUGGAAUGGUUUAUGUUCCAAAUGAUUUAUCGCCGUAGGAUGGGACUGCGGCCUAUCAGUUUGUUGGUGAGGUAAUGGCCCACCAAGACUAUUACAGGUACGGGCUCUGAGAGGAGUAGCCCGGAGAUGGGUACUGAGACAAGGACCCAGGCCCUAUGGGGCGCAGCAGGCGAGAAAACUUUGCAAUGUGCGAAAGCACGACAAGGUUAAUCCGAGUGAUUUCUGCUAAAGGAAUCUUUUGUUAGUUCUAAAAAUACUAGUGAAUAAGGGGUGGGCAAGUUCUGGUGUCAGCCGCCGCGGUAAAACCAGCACCUCAAGUGGUCAGGAGGAUUAUUGGGCCUAAAGCAUCCGUAGCCUGUUCUAUAAGUUUGCGGUUAAAUCUAUACGCUCAACGUAUAGGCUGCUGUAAAUACUGUAGAACUAGGGAGUGGGAGAGGUAGACGGUACUCGGUAGGAAGGGGUAAAAUCCUUUGAUCUAUCGAUGACCACCUGUGGCGAAGGCGGUCUACCAGAACACGUUCGACGGUGAGGGAUGAAAGCUGGGGGAGCAAACCGGAUUAGAUACCCGGGUAGUCCCAGCUGUAAACGAUGCAGACUCGAUGAUGCAAUGGCAUAGAGCUAUUGCAGUAUCGCAG
rnacentral:rRNA from 1 species